rnacentral:rRNA from 1 species
GAUGAACGCUGGCGGCGUGCCUAAUACAUGCAAGUCGAGCGAACAGACAAGGAGCUUGCUCCUCUGACGUUAGCGGCGGACGGGUGAGUAACACGUGGAUAACCUACCUAUAAGACUGGGAUAACUUCGGGAAACCGGAGCUAAUACCGGAUAAUAUAUUGAACCGCAUGGUUCAAUAGUGAAAGACGGUUUUGCUGUCACUUAUAGAUGGAUCCGCGCCGCAUUAGCUAGUUGGUAAGGUAACGGCUUACCAAGGCGACGAUGCGUAGCCGACCUGAGAGGGUGAUCGGCCACACUGGAACUGAGACACGGUCCAGACUCCUACGGGAGGCAGCAGUAGGGAAUCUUCCGCAAUGGGCGAAAGCCUGACGGAGCAACGCCGCGUGAGUGAUGAAGGUCUUCGGAUCGUAAAACUCUGUUAUUAGGGAAGAACAAAUGUGUAAGUAACUAUGCACGUCUUGACGGUACCCAAUCAGAAAGCCACGGCUAACUACGUG